rnacentral:rRNA from 1 species
AUGGACGGCGUGGAAGGUUUUCAGUUCUUCCAGAUCAUACUUGAGAACUCCUCCAGCAGGCUGAGGCUGCCUGACAAGUUUACGAGGGUGCUGCUAGACGGCGGCAAGCCCCAGGAAGUGAAGCUGCGGGAAGCCGACCACGGGCGUCGCUUCUGGGACGCGAAGGUGGUGCUGGACGCCGACGGCCACAUGUACCUAGGGCGCGGCUGGGAGCAGUUCGCCCGUGCGCACGACCUGCGGCUCGGCUACUUCCUGGUCUUCAGCUUCGACGGCGACGCCGUGCUCACCGUCAAGGUGUUCGACGUGAGCAUGUGCCGCAGGCACUACCAGCACGAUGACGAUGGCAGUACCAGCAGUGGGAGCAGCAGCGACGGCGACAGUGGCAGCGAAGAUGGCAGCAGCAACGGCGACGGUGGCGGCAACAGCAGCAGCAUGGCGGUGAUGGGGAUCGACGACGGGCCGGCGUCGCUGUUCACCGUCAUGCUGAGGGAGUGCAACCUGGGCGUGAGGCAGAAGCAGUACCUGAACGUGCCGGUGGAGUUCCAGAACGCGCACGGGUACGCGGAGAGGAGCAAGGUGGAGCUGCGGAUGCGCGGCAAGUCGUGGUUCGUGAACCUGAAGCACAGCCCCCGGAGCCGUGGCAGGCCCCGCGCGUCGCUCCGGUACGGGUGGCACCAGUUCUGCGUCGACAACGGCCUCGGCGUCGGCGACACCUGCUUCUUCCGAGCUCUCGGCGAAGGCAGCGCCGGCGAGGUCCACCUUCUCAAGGUGGAGGUGAGGAAGCGAGACGGCAGCUUCCUGGUCUGA